rnacentral:lncRNA from 1 species
UAUUGUUCACUAAUUUCGUUCUGAAAUAAGGAAAAUAUUUUCAGGUUUUUUAAACUUCCAUUAUGAUUCUAAUUUUGUAUAUGUAAUGCUAAUAUAUAUUAAUAGUCAAACGUAACUGGCUGAUGGAUGUCCCUUUUUCGGUCAAACCACUGUAUCAAUUUUUACAAAUAAGGUAUAGUCCAUUCCACCCGAACUGGCACUUGACCUUGGAGUAUGGACGAUACCAAGUCUAUGUUGAAGGUAUGAAUGCAAUUCAAAUGAGAAAGAAUUUAACGAAUCAUCGAAUCCAUUACAAAGAUUUCAACCUUUUACUUUUAAAAAUUAGAAUAUUUAACUUAUUACUGAGUAAAUAAAAUUUCAUAUAUCACUGUGAGAUAACUACCCGGUAUUUGUAUUUUUUUUUUACAGAAAGCGUCUAAAUUACAUUCUAUAUGUUUUAAUUUAAUCAUUGUGUUAUAUUGAACUGUUGUUAUAAAAUUAUUUCACAAAAUGAUGAGACAGAAUAAAUAUCAUAUUUUAGCCAUUUAUUAUUAACAGUAAGUAAUAUGCAAACUAAUAAUUUUUUGAGUAUUUUUCUGAUUGAAAAUAUAUACAAAUAUCAUUUUGAUGAACUUAAGUCAGUUGAUACAUAUUUAAAAUAUAAAAUAAAAUUUUCGUCGACAUCACUUGCUGUUUCGGUUGAUUCUGAACCGAAGAUGACGAUUCAGUAGGCCUAUAAUUUAUUAUUAGUUUUUCAACUUCUGUUUCUAAAAGAAACUCCUUUUCAAUAUAUUCUUUUUCUAUUUUUUUUACCUUCUCACAACAAGCCGACCAUUCUUUUUCUCCAAUAUCUUGGAACCUUUGAUGACAAUACCUUUACCUCAUCA